rnacentral:lncRNA from 1 species
AGAUGAACUUCCUCGAGGAGUUGCGCCGUGCAGUGGACGCUCAUACAGAAUUUGCGUCGCCUGUCGUCACCUGGAACUAAUCGAAGUCAGCAUCUGCAUCAUUAUGCGUUAUGACUAAUUUUCGAAGUCAGCAUCUGCAUCAUUAUGCGUUAUGACUAAUUUAUGGAAGGCAGGCUGUUCGCCAGGUCUAUGUAUGAUGUAUCCCAUACACGGAUGAUGUGCCAAAAGGCUUUCGUCUGACCUGCAGCUGCUUCUGGAAUCUGCAU